GGAUUAGUUGACAUUACUGCUGAUCUGAUAGCACUUUGGCUUGGUGUAUUACUGGAGUUAAAGGGGAUAGAAUUGCUUACAAAAGAGAAGUUUCCUCGAUUAUGUGAAUGGAUCGAUGAUUACCUUGAUCAUCAAAUUAUUAAGGAGACUUUGCCUGAUAGGGAGACCUACAGGGACUUUCUGUUGAAGGCUAAAUUUUAAUUUAGACUUGCGUAAAAAAAAGGUGAACUAGUUUUGUUCAUUCAUCAUCUCAGGAUGUAGCAGAGUAUUGUAUGAUAAAUAGAAUUUGGUGUCUGUUUGAUGUUUCACUUCAGAAAACAUUUCUAUCGAAUAAUGAAGAAUCUCAAGUUUUGAAUUAAUUUCCAGCAGCAACGAGAAGUUAGCUCAAGUAAUUCCAGAAAAAGAUUCACAAAUUAUGAAACAAAUCAACUUCUUUAUAAAAAGAAAUAAAAUCCGCAGACUGGAAUCAGUGCAGAAUUGAGAAUUCCACUUUGCCUUUGUAAAAAUUUCAAUUAGCAUCUGUUUUACCUUUUGCUAGUUAGCAUCUUUCAGUUGAGAAUAAAUAAUUUCAGUCUGUUCAUUUCUUCAUUAUUCGCGAUGUUUCCUGAAAGUUAGCUUUACAAGUAUUGUAAAAUGCAGUCAUAUGAGGUCACUCCUUAGGUCAUCGCAGAACAGCUUCUUUAUGUGGAAAUUGUGAAGACUAGUAGAAUAAUAGAGAACCUCCUAGUCCUUGUCAAGAACUAACUAGACUUCUCCACAUCACUGUGUGGUUGAAAAUCCAGUCAUACAAAAAAGAAAACAAAAAAUUGGCAACUUCUGGUAUGCAUCAAAAAAUAGCUCAACAUCAUUCCCUUUGGAACAACAUUUUUCAGAGUUCAAAAAGCAAAAUAGAGUUUUCGAUAUGGAAGGCCAUUGAAGAAGCUAAGGCGCAAUUGGCAACACUUGAAAAUGAGCUCAAAGGCAAGAAAUUCUUAAGUGGAGAUGAGAUCGGACUAGUUGACAUUGCUUAAGAAGUUUUAAAAAUAUCUUAUUGUAUAUGAUUUACUGUAGAGAGUUUGAAGUGAGUAAUUAGGUAGCCUAUAUGUUAAUGUUAUGUUGAAAUAAUAGAUUUUUCGUGUUUCUUAUGCUUUUAUAAGGUCCUGGAUGCCAGAGUCAUGGCUCAUUUCUGGAUAAAAUUCAUUGAUGAUGAGAUUAAUCUUAUAGUACUCAAAUUUAGUACUAACUUGUAGUUUCAGAUAAUAAGUUUCUGUCCUAGUUAUUCUUAAAUCAUGGUUUAAUUCUAAUAGUUACGUAUCUGGAUGAGGUCACCCCAUAGGUCAUCAGAAACAAAUUUCUUUCGGUGGAGAAUGGUCAAAAUUGAACAACUGGAAACACCUUAAUUCUCUAUUGAUGGAGUUUAGUCUAGUGCAUAUGUUGUUAGGCCUGGCAAUUAUAUAACUAGCACUUGAUCAAAAAUUUAUCUUGCAGAGCUUAAGCAGCAAAGCAUAUUAGUACUUCAUUCAGCUGAUCUGUGUAACAAUGGGUGAUCAAGAAGUGAAGUUGUUUGGUUUAUGGGCAAGCCCUUUUAGCAAAAGGGUUGAAACUGCACUGAAAAUCAAGGGAAUCAAGUACGAAUAUUUUGAAGAAGAUUUGUCCAACAAGAGUUCUGAGCUGCUCAAAUACAACCCUGUUCAUAAGAAGCUCCCUGUGCUUCUACACAAUGGGAAGCCAGUCUGCGAGUCUCUUGUUAUUCUUGAGUACAUAGACGAGACCUGGAAGUCUGAACGUUCUUUACUGCCCGAAGAUCCUUAUGCCAGAGCCAUGGCACGUUUCUGGGCAAAAUUCAUCGAUGAUAAGGUACAUGCAUAUGUCUUUGUCCGGUCAGUCCUGCCAGACUAUCUUUGUCAGUUGAUCUAAUUUUACCUGCACCGGGAUUCCUGAUAAGCCAGCUACAAUAUUUAACUCAUUUGCCAUCAUUUUUUAAUUAUUUCUAUAAAUUCAGUCUAUAUCUUAAAUGUGUACUGAUAUAAUUGACGCGUUCUUUAAAUUAUGACUUUCACUCUUUCAGUGCAUAGCUGCAAUGUGGAGUAUCCGGAGGAGCUCAGAGAGACCAGAGAAAGGCAUUGAAGAACUAACGGAACAUUUGAAAACACUUGAAAAUGAGCUCAAAGGCAAGAAGUUUUUUGGUGGAGAUGAAAUCGGAUUAGUUGACAUUACUGCUAAUCUGAUAGCACUUUGGCUUGGUGUGUUACUGGAGUUAAAGGGGAUAGAAUUGCUUACAAAAGAGAAGUUCCCUAGAUUAUGUGAAUGGAUCGAUUAUUACCUUGAUCAUCAAAUUAUUAAGGAGACUUUGCCUGAUAGGGAAAACUACAGAGAGUAUCUGUCGAAUGUACUUAAAGGUUAAAUUUUAAUUUAGACUUAUGUAAAAAAAAGUUGAGCUAGUUUUG
rnacentral:lncRNA from 1 species